CUAAGGAUUAUUAUUAAAGCAAACAAAAACAAAGAUUAUGGAUUUAUCUAUGUAUGGCGAAAAUUUGAAUUUCAGCAGUUCUGAUGAAAUAAGCUCUGAUGAAGAAAGCGGAAAUAUAAAAGAAGUCUAUGAACAAAGUUUGAGUAUCAUUGAAAAUAAUUGUUUACCUACACGUGAUAUUGUUUAUG
rnacentral:lncRNA from 1 species